rnacentral:rRNA from 1 species
UGGGCCCACCUGACCCCAUGCCGAACUCAGAAGUGAAACGCUGUAGCGCCGAUGGUAGUGUGGGGUCUCCCCAUGCGAGAGUAGGGAACUGCCAGGC